AAACAGAAUAUAAUGAAGUUUUAAUUUCUCUGUUCGAUUUACUGUCCAUAGAAUCUUAUGUCCCUAAUUUUAACGUACAUUCAUCUAUUUUUCUACUAUCCGUGAUCAUCUGCUCCGUAUCAGUCGUAGAGCUCGCUUGAUGUGACGGUUUUAAUUUUCAUUUGAAUUUCAUGAGUGUAUAACGUAAUUAUAUAUCGGGAAUGGUUUUAUUCGAAUUUUUUUUGGUUAAUGACUUGAAUGAUCGUUCGCUUACAUGUUAAUGUAGUGGUAAAUACACAUUUCGAUAACUAAUUAGUUUUGUGUGAUUAAGUUUUAUGAUUUUCUCUAAUUAUAUGAAAUUGAUGUGUUGAUAAUUUUGUUUUGAAUCACUUGCCUUUGGUAAGUAACUAAUCGAUUUUAUUGUUAAUCAAUUAUAUGAAAUGCUUCAAAAGUUAGAUUUUGAGUCGUAUAUUUUGUUGUUUUGUAGAUUAGCAUAAUAGCAUACCUAAUUGAACUUAAAACAGUGGUUUUUUGAACAUUUUUAUUCGAGGUUUUAAUGUGUUAUUAUAAAGAAUAAUCUAUACUGAGAUUUUCUGAUUCCAGAGGGAUAAACACCAACAAAAUGCAUUUGGUGUAAUUUUUGAAAAAGACAUGGGGUAU
rnacentral:lncRNA from 1 species